GACGAACGCUGGCGGCGUGCUUAACACAUGCAAGUCGAACGGAAAGGCCCUGCUUUUGUGGGGUUCUCGAGUGGCGAACGGGUGAGUAACACGUGAGUAACCUGCCCUUGACUUUGGGAUAACUUCAGGAAACUGGGGCUAAUACCGGAUAGGAGCUCCUGCUGCAUGUUGUGGGUUGGAAAGUUUCGGCGGUUGUGGAUGGACUCGCGGCUUAUCAGCUUGUUGGUGGGGUAGUGGCUUACCAGGGCUUUGACGGGUAGCCGGCCUGCGAGGGUGAACGGCCACAUUGGGACUGAGAGACGGCGCAGACUCCUACGGGAGGCAGCAGUGGGGAAUAUUGCACAAUGGGCGGAAGCCUGAGGCAGCAACGCCGCGUGCGGGAUGACGGCCUUCGGGGUGUAAACCGCUUUCGACUGUGACGAAGCGUGAGUGACGGUAAUGGGUAAAGAAGCACCGGCUAACUACGUG
rnacentral:rRNA from 1 species